AUACGGAGGGAGCAAGCGUUAUUCGGAAUCACUGGGCGUAAAGGACGCGUAGGCGGGUUAUUAAGUCGGGUGUGAAAUCCAAUGGCUCAACCAUUGAACUGCAUUCGAAACUGAUAACCUAGAGUAUGGAAGGGGCAGGUGGAAUUAGUGGUGUAGGGGUAAAAUCCGUAGAUAUCACUAGGAAUACCGAAAGCGAAGGCGACCUGCUGGGACAUUACUGACGCUGAGGCGUGAAAGCGUGGGGAGCAAACAGGAUUAGAAACCCCGGUAGUCC
rnacentral:rRNA from 1 species